UCUAAUAACUAACCGGAACUACCUCUGUGAUAUUCAAAAAAAAUAGCGAGAUUCCAGACAAGAAACUCUGUAUCUACUAACCGGAAGGUCGACCAAGAUUCUGAGAACCACCCAGAAACCACGGUGGCAUGGCAUUUAGGUUCGAACUCGGCCACUGCCGCCCGAGCUUUAAGAAGGGAGAUCCUCCAAGGAAUCCUCCCAGCUUCCAGUCAAAUCCGGCGUCUUGGGACCACCCAAUCCUUUUCCUCCCUCCAUGAAUCCUGUUUCUCUUCGUGGCUUGCAGCCUCUAACAAAACCAUUCAAACCAAAAUAUUAGAAAAGAAACGAUUUCCUGAAACUUUUCCAACAUAGUAAAGAUUCUUGACGUAAAGAAUGCUAUCAGAGCUACAGAAAUCGCCGAAAAACUUCUCUGAAAAGAAGGGUGGAAUCAAGAAACGGAGUUCUUCGAAAAGAUUGAGAACGAUUAGAAUCGAAGUGAGAUCGAUAAAUGGAAUCCUCCAUCAGAACCUUAGAAGAGCUCGGUGAAGAGGGAGAAGAGGGGAGAAGGGCGAGGGUUUAGGUUAAGCUUGCCUGGUUUCGAGGGCCGAGCGAGAGCUUGAAUGAGAAAGGCGUCGAUGACUUCUUGGAGAAGAAGAAGAGGGUUUCUAUCCUCGAGGCUUUCUUUCGAGCGAUAUUCCCG
rnacentral:lncRNA from 1 species